UUAACUAUUAAGUUGUUCUCAGACGACAUGAUACAAGAAUUUUUGGUCCUCUGGCGGGGCAGGACUAGGCCCAUGCCCGCCAAGGCAACAGAGUUAUAGUAAACAAAGGGUGGGAGAUGUACCCGUGAGGGCAAGUUCUCUCUAAUGAUCCUUCCGCAGGUUCACCUACGGAAA
rnacentral:misc_RNA from 1 species